rnacentral:rRNA from 1 species
UAUGGAGCAAGCGUUAUCCGGAAUUACUGGGUGUAAAGGGAGCGCAGGCGGUUUAGCAAGUCUGAUGUGAAAUCCCGGGGCCCAACCCCGGACCUGCAUUGGAAACUGUUAAACUAGAGUGCCGGAGAGGUAAGUGGAAUUCCUAGUGUAGCGGUGAAAUGCGUAGAUAUUAGGAGGAACACCAGUGGCGAAGGCGGCUUACUGGACGGUAACUGACGCUGAGGCUCGAAAGCGUGGGGAGCAA